GUAGGUGAACCUGCGGAAGGAUCAUUAAUGAUUGACCGAAAGGUCUUAUCUUAUCAUCCCUCACCUCUGUGAACCGUCUGACCUCUGGGUCUAACAAAACAUACAAACAUCAGUGUAACGAACGUCUUGUUAUCAUAACAAAAAUAAAACUUUUAACAACGGAUCUCUUGGCUCUC
rnacentral:misc_RNA from 1 species